UGGAUGCUAUCCCCUUUGAACCAAGAAAGUGAAUCAGCUGCUCAUGCCUUUUAGGUUGCUGCCGAAUCUGGAAAUUGAUGGAAAGAGUCAGAUACCUUGCUUGCAUGUAUCUUCCC
rnacentral:sRNA from 1 species